GGACUUAAAAUAUUUUUGUAUAGUUUUACAAUAUACUAAAUUACAAAAGUUUGUAGAAAAACAAUUAUAUAAUGAUAAUACAACAUAAUUUUUGAAUUAAAGCUGGAUUUCUGGUAGAAAACAAAACGUAAAAUAAUAAAAUCGAUAAAACUUUGACGCGCCGUAAAUCAUUGUCUAUUUGUCCUAUAAUUCUGUUUACGAUUUUUCUCAUUUAUUAUGGAAAACUUUUGAAAAAUCAAUAAAUGAUCUUUUUGAUGCAACAUCAAGGUCCGAAAUGCAACCAAAAAGGUUUCUUAUUAUUUUUUUUUUUACUGGACCAAGAUUUCUGAUGGAAAUGUUGUUUAUGUAUAUUAUAAAGAAAAAGAAUCUUCUUACAUGCUAUAUUCAGAAUCUUAAAUAUAUUUAUUUAUUAGCAUAGAAAUUAAAUUUACCACAUUUAUAUAAAAUAAAAUGAUAAUUAUUAGCUAAUCAUUAA